ensembl:rRNA 5S_rRNA 5S ribosomal RNA
CAUCCCAGCAGCAUACUACCCUGAAUCCCAUUGCUGGCUUACUUCUGAAGCUAAGCAGGGUUGGUCCUGGUCAGUCUCUGGAUGGGAGACCACAUGCUGCUGGAAGUUGUGUUGG